rnacentral:sRNA from 1 species
AUAUUGAAUUUAGUUAAGGGUAGAGAUUUAUUCUUAAGACUUCAUAUUAAUAGAACAGAGCGGUGAAUCAAGAGGGUUGUGCUUGCUUUACGUGUUUGUGAAUAAGUUGUAUUUGUUUUCUGGUUCUAUUGAAAUCAAAAUCUUGACGUGGUCUCGGAGAGUAGAAAAAAUCAAAUCUCGUUAACAAAUUUUGUGUCUCUUUACUUUAUGCACUUUCAAGUGGUAGCAAAGCGGGUUCUCGAUAGAGAUUUAGUCUUGUUUCGGGUAGAUCAGGGUGAGGUUCAUAAGAUCGUUCAGGAGA